AUAAAUAAUUUGAUAUAAAAAACUUUAAUCUAUGACAAGUUGAUCAAACUGACAUUCAACAUGUCACCCUUCAUUCCCCCUUCUCUUGAUCAUUUAGUUUGGUUCUUAAUGGUUGUUAGGGCAGGUUGUGUGCGAUUUGCCGGCAAAAAUUCGAAAAUUUUCUGAAAUAUUUAAAUUUUUCCGCUAAAAAAUGUUCAUCUUGUGAAAAACAAAGUUCCUCGGCACCUUUUGAUGCCAUUUUCCCCACACAUAGGGCGAUUUUUCGCAAUAAAAACGCGAUUUUUCCAGUUGAAAACUGCCUGACGUUUGCUGUCAAGCAGCGCAGCCAUCACUUGCGCUGAUAAACUCAAUAUUAGUCCGGUAGAUUUGGAAUUUCAGUUUCAAUUUUUCUGUGGAAAAUUUGUCACUCCGAAAAUGAUCCGGAUUCGUGGUAGUUUUCCGAACCAAAGUGCGGUUUUCUGGAGUUUCUUUUUGAGACAUUGCCCACUAUGCAUUACGGAAAUGGACAGUCAAUGGAUAGUGCAGUUUGAGACCGUCCCUAAUGGAUUUUCUCGAUUAAACACUGGUCGGAAAGUUCGGACGAGGCAGAGUUGCACAUCUGGAUAAUUAAUUGUUUACCGAUGACCAUCAAGCAGCAGGCAGGCCUUCUUAAAGGUUCCCACAGAUUUUGCUGUGUCAUCCACCCCGCAGAAGGUGAGCUUUUUUACGAUUUUUAACUGUGAGGGCAUAAAAAAGGCAAACUGAAUGAAUUUUCAACGGUAUAUUCAACAGGCAACGAAACUUUUAAAUAUUAAAAUACUUAGAAUACAUACUAAAUCGAUAUUUGACUAAUGCAAGUUCACAUUAAGUAAAUUUCUAAUAUACAAAGUUCUCUAUAGUAAGACUAACUAUAAAUGUCGCAAGUCAAAAUUCA